CUACACCAUCACCCCUAAAGCUGGUUGAAAAUGAACGAGGGCCUGUGGCUGGACACACUGAGGACGAUGCACACCUCUUGAAAACAUGUGUCUCUACCCCUCCGGCACGGGUUUCUACAAAAUCAAAGGCAAAGUUGCUGUGUUGCAGUUAUCUGUGUUGCAGCACUCAGCAGAUGUAACUACACCAUCACCCCUAAAGCUGGUUGAAAAUGAACGAGGGCCUGUGGCUGGACACACUGAGGACGAUGCACACCUCUUGAAAACAUGUGUCUCUACCCCUCCGGCACGGGUUUCUACAAAAUCAAAGGCAAAGUUGCUGUGUUGCAGUUAUCUGUGUUGCAGCACUCAGCAGAUGUAACUACACCAUCACCCCUAAAGCUGGUUGAAAAUGAACGAGGGCCUGUGGCUGGACACACUGAGGACGAUGCACACCUCUUGAAAACAUGUGUCUCUACCCCUCCGGCACGGGUUUCUACAAAAUCAAAGGCAAAGUUGCUGUGUUGCAGUUAUCUGUGUUGCAGCACUCAGCAGAUGUAACUACACCAUCACCCCUAAAGCUGGUUGAAAAUGAACGAGGGCCUGUGGCUGGACACACUGAGGACGAUGCACACCUCUUGAAAACAUGUGUCUCUACCCCUCCGGCACGGGUUUCUACAAAAUCAAAGGCAAAGUUGCUGUGUUGCAGUUAUCUGUGUUGCAGCACUCAGCAGAUGUAACUACACCAUCACCCCUAAAGCUGGUUGAAAAUGAACGAGGGCCUGUGGCUGGACACACUGAGGACGAUGCACACCUCUUGAAAACAUGUGUCUCUACCCCUCCGGCACGGGUUUCUACAAAAUCAAAGGCAAAGUUGCUGUGUUGCAGUUAUCUGUGUUGCAGCACUCAGCAGAUGUAACUACACCAUCACCCCUAAAGCUGGUUGAAAAUGAACGAGGGCCUGUGGCUGGACACACUGAGGACGAUGCACACCUCUUGAAAACAUGUGUCUCUACCCCUCCGGCACGGGUUUCUACAAAAUCAAAGGCAAAGUUGCUGUGUUGCAGUUAUCUGUGUUGCAGCACUCAGCAGAUGUAACUACACCAUCACCCCUAAAGCUGGUUGAAAAUGAACGAGGGCCUGUGGCUGGACACACUGAGGACGAUGCACACCUCUUGAAAACAUGUGUCUCUACCCCUCCGGCACGGGUUUCUACAAAAUCAAAGGCAAAGUUGCUGUGUUGCAGUUAUCUGUGUUGCAGCACUCAGCAGAUGUAACUACACCAUCACCCCUAAAGCUGGUUGAAAAUGAACGAGGGCCUGUGGCUGGACACACUGAGGACGAUGCACACCUCUUGAAAACAUGUGUCUCUACCCCUCCGGCACGGGUUUCUACAAAA